CAGGUAUAUUCAUAGGUGAAGUAGUUUUUUACAAUAAUUAAUUUAAGCUGUUCAAAUCAGUUUUAUCUGA
rnacentral:tRNA from 1 species